UAUAUGUUCGGAUUUUAAUGAUGCAACGGCACCCUCUACUGUUACCAUGCCAUUGUAUCUCUCUCAAGAUCCUGACCGUGUGGAUCUGAUGAAAAAGAAGAGAAAACUACAGCAGUUACUUGUUUUUAUGAUAAAUGCAAAUCGCAGUUGCAACUGAUGAUGAACGAGGAGUUCACCUCAUGGUUUGAAACAGCAGCUUCCAAUGCUCAACCUGCAGUUCAAAAAGGAGCCAGAUCAAUCAUCAUCCUAAUCCUAUGGAGGCUAUGGAAAGCUCGCAAUGAUAUAGUUUUCAGAGAAGCUACCCCUAAUCGUCGAGAGCUUGUGCUCUCAAUUCUUGAAGAUGCCAAACUCUGGUUCCUUGCUGGUGCUAAGGCCCUGCGCCAGCUGCCCUCACAUCCGGAGUCCAAGAUGCUGCCUAGUGCGAGAGAGUUGACCGGCAAAGUCGGUCAUGUACAGCUUCAGUUUUAGCUUCUCUGUUUUUCUUCCUCUUUCUUUCUUGCCUUUUCUGCACCUUCUGCUCUCUUUUGGUAGCCUUGCUACACUUUUGUUUGCUCCUGUCUUCUCGACGGCUUUCGUCUAAUAUACUAAGACACACGCUUAGGCGUGUGUUCGAGAAAAAAACUGAUGAUGAACAUGAGGAGAGAUAGUAUGUAUAUUUAGUGAAAACAAAAAUACGAAUUUAUGUACUAGUAAAGUGUUAUACCUUGGUGAAGAAGUGCCCACCUGCGCGGCGACUACAACUCGUGUUUUGUGCCUUCCCCCUCAUCACAUGAGUUAGUGCCAGUCACUAGCUCAUUUUGUCCAGGCAGUAUGAGAGCAGCUACCAAAGCCCUGCAAUGAGGUUCCGAGGGCCAUGUCUGAUGUCUAUGCUGUUACAUAUGUCUUUGUUGUGGAGUUUUACUGUUCGAUUACAUGUAAACUAACUCGUCUACAUGUUCUCUGGAUAACUUUAGGUCGACCACAGAGUUUAUAAUAGCAUACCGUCAUUUCUUUA